GGGUUAUGGAGGAAACUAAUGAACAAGCCCCGAACUUGGUAGCUUUUUACAAAGAAGUGCAUUGGUCAAAAAAGAAAGGUGGAUUUAUCACCAACACUGCAGAACAAAAUUAUAAUCUGAUGCUUGAGCGGUUGAAUGAGACUGAGUUGGAUGGGAACAUGGAUGAAACAGCUAAUGCAGUGUUUAAGGAGGUUUUAGGAUAUCGACC